GUCCGUCAGUCCAGAGCGUCAGUCAGUUAAGACUGUCAGUACCAGACCUUCAGUACAAACUGUCAGUACUGACCGUCGGAUUAUGAGUCCAGUCCGUCAGUCCAGAGCGUCAGUCAGUCAGUCCAGAGCUCCAGUCCGUCAGUCCAGAGCGUCAUCCAGUCAGUCCAUCAGUCCAGAGUAUCAGUCCCCCCUCCCUCCUAGACCCCUCAGCUCAACCCUUUGUAUCUAGUUCUCUUAGUGGUGGAUCGAGCUGAAACAGGUUCACUGGCUCCUAGCUAAACAAGUUCACUGAAGUCUGGGGGUCUACACCCGUCUGGGAGGGGGUCUACACCAGUCUGGGG
ensembl:lncRNA